GGGAGGCGCCUGUUUGUACGCAAGUGAGCGCGCGGCCCGGGCCUCUGCAGAGACCAGGACUGAGAAACCGCGGGCCCCAGGGGGAGAACUCAUCUGGAGUCUAUGACUUAAAGAGGCCCACUUCUGGAAGGGCAGAUAAAGGCUUUGAAGAGAAGAAAUAGACCUUUACAGUAAGCUUGCAAAUACCAUAUUUAUUUUAGAAAAUAAUCAUUUCUAACUUAAGUUCAGUCAUACUCUGAAAUUUCACAGGCUUUGGGCAAAAUAGAAUUCAAAUUUUAAUCCUACAC
rnacentral:lncRNA from 1 species